UACUCCGUUCUUAUGAAGGGCUGCUGUGUGUCUUUAAAAUAUUUCUUUCGUUUCAAGUGUUUGAAAAAACCCAUGAGUGUUGACAGGGUAGGUACAAAAUAAAUACAAUGCAGGUACUGACUUAAGAAUGUUGAAGUGUGGAGGGUUUUACAUGUUUGUAUUCAAGUCCAAAACGUCGAUGUCAGUAAUGUUUGCAAGACCUUCCCUUAACCCUGUAGCUCAACGAGCCUCCAAGUGUCUUAGUUUCUGCUGAUAAAUUGCAGUAGAUGGGGAAGUCCCAAUCAGCUCCUUACUUCUUAACACUGGAGUCCUCUUAGUCGCAAAGGAAGCCGUUCUCCACCUCCUUCUGGCUGAUCUGUAGGUGCACACCAUGCCUUGGCUCAACCGCUUAUCUGCAAGUCUGAUGCUUCAAGCAGUUCAGCGUCCCUCUGAGAAAGCCUGAGCCCACGUCUCCUCCCAGGUUUGCUUGUCAUCAAGAAGAAAUCAAAAGGCUCUCUGGAGGGUGAGAAGGCUCGCAGGCAGGUAGCAGUGAUGAGAAGCUGAUUGAGAAAGGCAAUUGUCUGCUGUUAUCUCUUCCUGACGCAGCCUGCCUGUCUGCCUCCUGAGGGCCCUGUGCUGGUUACUCGUAGGACGGCUGCAUCUGGCAGUUUGUAAUAGCUUAUCUCCAGAGGCAGGCGUGUGUUAGGGAGGACCUGCGGGUACGGUGAGCUCCUGGCUCUGCUCCUGCAUUUUUGCUUCUGUGAGAAGGAAGCAGGCAGAAGAAUUCAGCUUCCCGGAACUGACUUGCUGAAUUUCAUAGCUGGGAUUUUUGCCUCCCUUAUGUAUUGUCAAAACAAAACCAAAAAAAAAAAGCCAUGCUCUGCUCUCAAAUACAUUUAAAGUCUUUGUAAAUACUGGUGUGCUGUCUCUUUUCCCUCGGGAUCUUCUUUGUUAGCAUCCAGGUUUGUACGUACAUGAAUGAUACAAGGUGGGGGGAGGAAGUGAUGAAGUCAAAUACGUGACAAUGAGAAUUUUACAUGGGUGUUUAUCAGAAUGUCUGUGUGCUUGUAAAAGUGUACAUUAAAGUAGCAGAGGGCUGCUUGAUAUAUACCACUGCAUUUCUGCUUGCUUCAUCAAUAUUCUUGGAACAGGCUGUCUAGAGAGUUUGUGAAACCUCUGUCUUUGGUCAACUUCUGUGUCCAGAUAAAGCCUUGAGCAACGUGACCUGAAUUCACAGUUGGUCUUGCCUUGAUCAGGGCAUUGGACUAGGGACCUCCAUGGGUCCCCUCCAUCCUAAAUCUUAAUAUAUUUUUUCUUCAGGUAGCUAUGUGCUUGUAUAUUUGUCCACUUAAUUCCAUAUGCUGAGUUGGUGCCUUUAACACAUUUAAGCUUUUUUUUUUUUUGAGAUCUGAUAACUUACUGUGUACAGUACUGGAAAAAGAACAUCCAGAGAUACACUAAGGGCAGCGAAUACUAUUGAUGGAUCUUAGUUUUGCUGCAUAUAUAUAAAAACUGGAGAACAUAAAUACCUACUUGCAAAAA